AUUGUAUCCACGAUUGGGGAAUUUUCCGCAAUGGGCGAGUAGCCUGACGGAGCAAGACCGCGUGAGGGAGGAAGGCCCUUGGGUUGUAAACCUCUUUUGUCAGGGAAGAACACAAUGACGGUACCUGACGAAUAAGCCUCGGCUAACUCCGUGCCAGCAGCCGCGGUAAUACGGAGGAGGCAAGCGUUAUCCGGAAUUAUUGGGCGUAAAGCGUCCGCAGGUGGCUAUUCAAGUCUGCCGUCAAAGACCGGGGCUUAACCCUGGAAAGGCGGUGGAAACUGAAAGGCUAGAGAGAGGUAGGGGUAGAGGGAAUUCCCAGUGUAGCGGUGAAAUGCGUAGAGAUUGGGAAGAACACCGGUGGCGAAAGCGCUCUACUGGACCUCAUCUGACACUAGAGGACGAAAGCUAGGGGAGCGAAUGGGAUUAGAUACCCCAGUAGUCAAUCGUGGAUACAAU
rnacentral:rRNA from 1 species